GGGCCUGCUGGAGAGCCGGGUCAGCCGGGUCACGCGCCCGGCUGGGGAACUGCACGACCUGGCUGAACAGAUAACACCGGGUCCAGUCUGACCCGGCUGAAAAAUGUCUCAAACUGACAAUGGAUUCCUAAAAUACCGGUAUUUUACGACUCGCGGACCCCAUCUGUUGCAAAUCUAGCGCAACCGUACACACUACAUAGUCUACAGUCUACCAGGUCUACAAGCGACAGAAACUCGGCUAGGGUCAACUGGGGUCAACUGGGGUCAACUGGUUCGAGCGCGAUCUGGCCAGCGGCGAGCAGGAAGUCAGGACAUUCAAAGUCGAUGGGGCAGUCAAAAGCGUAACUUUGGCUAUAGCUUUUGACACAGUUGCAAGUUUUCAGCCGACUGGUGAUUUGGACGAUGGAGCCCGCAGCUAAGAGAAAAAGAACUCACGCUUUCCAAGACUCUUGGAAGAAAGGUCGACCCUGGCUGGAUCCCAUGGAUUACGAUCAUGCCAGUCUAUACAUGUCGUGCGCUUUGUGCAAGACGCAAAGGAAGACGAGCGGCGGUGGAUUUGGUCGCGAUGUUCUCUAAAAUUUCCGAUUUCCGGUAAUAAAUUCGCCUU